GACGAACGCUGGCGGCGGGCUUAACACAUGCAAGUCGAACGGAAAGGCCCUGCUUUUGUGGGGUGCUCGGUUGGCGAACGGGUGAGUAACACGUGAGUAACCUGCCCUUGACUUUGGUAUAACUUCAGGAAACUGGGGCUAAUACCGUAUAGGAGCUCCUCCUGCAUGGUGGGGGUUGGAAAUUUUCGGCUGUUGGGGAUGGGCUCGCGGCUUAUCAGCUUGUUGGUGGGGUAGUGGCUUACCAAGGCUGUGACGGGUAGCCGGCAUGAGAGGGUGAACGGCGACCUGGGGACUGAGAUACGGACCAGAGUGCUACGGGAGGCAGCAGUGGGGAAUAUUGCACAAUGGGAGGAAGCCUGAUGAAGCAACGCCGCGGGCGGGAUGACGGCCUUCGGGGUGUAAACAGCUUUAGCUUGUGACGACGCGUGAGUGACGGUAAUGGGUAAAGAAGCACCGGCUAACUACGUG
rnacentral:rRNA from 1 species